GGCUCAGAACGAACGCUGGCGGCGCGUUUAAGCAUGCAAGUCGAGCGGCAAGGGCCUUCGGGCCCCUAGAGCGGCGGACGGGUGAGUAACACGUGGACAAUCUGCCCCCCGGCCCGGGAUAGCCCAGGGAAACCUGGAUUAAUACCGGAUGAGACGGGACCCGCGAUGGCGGGAUCCGGGAAAGGCGCUGCGGCGCCGCCGGGGGAUGAGUCUGCGUCCCAUUAGCUAGACGGCGGGGUAACGGCCCACCGUGGCAACGAUGGGUAGCCGGCCUGAGAGGGUGGACGGCCACAUUGGAACUGAGACACGGUCCAGACUCCUACGGGAGGCAGCAGCUAAGAAUCUUCCGCAAUGGGCGAAAGCCUGACGGAGCGACGCCCGCGUGAACGAAGAAGGCCGUGAGGUUGUAAAGUUCUUUUCGGGAGGGGGAACAACCGUGGCAGGGAAUGGCCGCGGGAUGACGUGAAUCCCGGAAUAAGCCCCGGCUAACUACGUGCCAGCAGCGGC
rnacentral:rRNA from 1 species